rnacentral:rRNA from 1 species
AUGUCAUGCAUGUAUUUGGUCAGUGCAUGUCAGUUGUAUUCAACUAGUAUAAGAGUUGUGAUUUAUUCUCUGACAAAGUGCACGAAUCUUGAUGAAUUGCAUGGAUGGUUUAUUUCCAGCCGGUACAUACCGGUUCCGGUAAAUUUAAUUAUUCGGUCUUCACAGAGCGAGAAUCCAAGACUUUUUUCAGGGAUAACUCUCCUGGAGCUCUCUGGAUCAGGAAGUUCAGGUAAUGCAGCGAACACUGCCACAUGGUCUCGCACUUGCGGGAUUGUUGCUUCGGUUCAUGGAAAACAUGGUGAACUAAGCCUCCUUCAAGCAAGCCCAAACGAUAUGCCAUAA